AAGACGAGGUGGUCAGAGGGAGGCUCGUGGGGCCCGUGGUGCUUUCCCUGCUCUGUGCCUCCCAAGCCAUAGUCCCCGCCCGGGAACGGAGGACGGCAGUGGCCGGGCAGACCCGAGUCUGAGGUCUGGCCCCACUCCUGGUUGGCUGUGUGACUCUGGGCAGGGAGUUGCCCUGUCUGGGCCUCGUUUAUGAAAUGCUGACAACAAACCCUGCAUAGGGUGGCAGAGAGGGUGACCCGGGCCUGAGGCCUGGCAUGCUGUCCUUUGGGGUGGAUGGUGUAGCCACCAGGGGGCACUGUGGCCUCAGAAAUGCCCGAAGGCCUGGGGCUGUGGGCAGUGCCAGGAGAACAGCUCCCGAGCCCUCCUCGGCCAACUCACCCCUCACCACGCGCCCUGCUGACCAGCCAGCCUCACCCCGCCCGCUCCAUCUCCUGGGGGCCUGCAGCACACAGGGCUCUACACAUCUCACAGGAGCCCGACCCAUCAGAUAGGAUGAUUCCCAGUUUCCAGACGAAGAACUGAGGCUUCCCAGCCUGGGAUCAGACCCGAGGGUGUCCACCCCGGCUACGUCUAAGCCGUCCCCCCACCACGGUCUGCACUGCCUCCGGUCCUGAGUGGAUCUCUUCCUUCAGAACCACUGAAGUCCCUCUGCGCCUGGCCGGUGCUGCCCCUCGACCUGGGUGCCUUCCUGCCAGUGCAUCACAAAUGCCUCCACCCACUUCAAGGUCUCUGGUGAAAUCUCCUAGCCUUCUCCCAGGUGGGUGCCCAGACACCGCAUCAAUGCCACUUACAGGACAGUGCCUGGGCCAUGGAACUCCCCCCUUGUCUGUCUCCCCUCUGGGCUGUGAGCCUGGACACCCAGCCUGAAGCCCGCCCCCGGCACAGAGCAGUUCUCAGCCUCUAUCUGCUGAAGGAACAGGAAAGGAGCUCCCAGAGGGAGGUGGCCUUAGCCGGGCCUGUGCCUGCCCCUCACCCUAGAUCUCAGCUCCGGGACAUCUGGGGCCAGGUCAUUCUUUACCAAGGGUCUGUCCUGAGCAUCGUAGGAAGCUUCUCAGCAUCUCUGGCCUCUAGAGGCCAGUAGCACCUCCCUGCGCAGUUGUGACAGCCCCAAAUGUCCAUGCGGGCAAAGUCCCCCCCCACCCCCGUUUGAGAACCAUCUCCGCUCCCCCCCAACCCCCGAGAACACAGGUUUGGCUGUAACAGGGCAGGGAUCGGCCCUGGCAGAUGCUACCUCAGACAGGUCUCUAAGAGGCCAAGGCCUCCAUGGAAGGCACAGUUCCCUGCCCAUGAGAGUGGGGAGCAGGGAGGGUCCUGCCUUCCUAUCUGUGGCUGACUGUUUAGCAGGGGGCGGAAAGGAGCGCUCCCCUGCCCCCCUGCCACCUGCUGCUCCAGCACAAAGUGGAAACAGCUAGAACUGGAGGGAGCUGCUCCAGCCACCAAAGCAAUGAAACACCCUGUCGGCAGACACAGCUGCUGCACCGCGCGGGCAGCCAUGCCCGGCAGCUUCCAGGUGCUACCACUUAGGCCUCCCAGCAGCCCUGUGUGUUCAGCAUUCUUACGUCCCCUUUACCAAGACGGAAGCAGAAGCUCAGAGAAGUGAAAUUCAUUCACUCGUUCAGAGAUUUCCUGAGCAUCACCUCAGGCUUGCCCGAGGUCACUGGCUAGAAGAGAAGAUGCUGGGCUACCUGGCCCCACAGGAGGGGCCCCUGCAACAGGAGGGGGUCCUCCAACCUCACACCCUGGAGUCCCCUACCUCUGCCCCAAACACAGCAGCUCUGCCUUGACCUCCACAGCCUGCUCUCUGCUUGGAAAAAAAAAAAAGAGGCCCUUCCUCUUGAUAGUCUGAGAGUCUUCGCCUCUUGGAAGAGGUGGGAAUUUCUGAAAUGCCUGCCCAGGACCGGGCAUGGCUGUGUCUCCCACUUCCACUAACACGGCGCUUCCCCCACCGCCGCCUGCCAUGGGGUGGGUCAGACCGGGAUUGAGGCCCGGUUGGCCGGGGUCCCCACCAACAUCACAGCAUUUCUCCCCAGCCCCCUGGGUUCUCACCCUGGCUCCCCACACACAGGCCCGCAGACUCUGUGACCCCCCGAAGCCAGCAUCUAGGGCCACGGAGGAAAUAGCCACAUAUCUCAAGGCAGCCACGCGGAAGCCCUUUAAAACGCGAGCAGACUAGACGGCUGUGGACGACUCACACUCUAAUGAUGACACCAUCCUGUCGCCCUAUCCCGCACACCGGCAAUUCCUCAGUGCAUCGAACGAGGCCGCAUCACUUUGCUCAGAUCUACAGAACUAGAGAGAAAGGAGAAAGGCCGGGUACAGGGAGCCCGAACACUGCCUGCCCAGAGACAGCCCCGACUGCAGACAGAGCAGGACGCCUUGCUCCUGUUCCUGCCGCUGGAGCUGGCCGUUUACAAACCAGGAGCCAGCCCUGCAAAACCACAGGCAGCUGCACUUUUGCUUAAUUCAAUCUCACUGCAAAAGCUCUUGGGGAGACUUUCUGGGUCAAACGACUUUGUGCUAAGUGCCUUUGGUAAAAAAAGGAUUUUAUAUUUUAAUGUAGUUAAAGGAUCUUUAAAAAGUGGGGGUGUGCCUAAACUAGCAAACGGCAAACGUUCACAGAGUUGGGUUUAAGUUUUCCAACCCGAACUGGCAGAGCCUUCAUGGUUUUAUGCUAAUUUCUCCCACGGGGCUCGGGAGGCCGGGCAGGCAUUUGGAGGCGGCUUUAGACACAUCCACAUCCAGGGUCCCCGUAGCACCUGGCCUUGCGGGGAGACUCCCCCUGCCCUGGAGUCUCCUGGGCAGGGAGCACUGAGUCUGGUUUAGCUCAUGCUUUUGUAUCACGCGCGGGAACGUCACAUCUGAAACCUACAAAUCAAGGCACAACGGACUAGUAUCCCCCCCUCCCCCAGCGAUGCAUCGGGGAGAAUGGCGAUCUCUUCCAACCCCGUGGACCUCGAGACGAGAGACAUCCUCGAUCACAGGCUCGUGGACCAUCCCGCCACCAGCGCUCCCACCUUCUCCCCCCUCCAGCCCCGAGCGCCGGCUGGAGAGGUCCUUUGUCAGGAAUCCGACCGAUCGUCCCAGAAGCGCACAAGCCACAGUCCCCUCCUUCAUCUUCCCACUCACUUAACAGGUGCCGUGACCUUGUCCCCUUCUCCACAUCAGGAGGCAGGGACCAAGCGAGCGACCCCACGGAGCAGGCUGAGGCCAGGCCACUGGCCGGGUGCGGGCUCCUGCCAUCAGCCCAGUGCCACACCCCACACGGCCGGCCACCACUCCUGGUCCUCACAGCCUGUGAGACACGCGAUGGCGCCCCCCCAUUUCCCAGACAAGGAAGUGGGUGCCAGGAGGGUCAGCCCUUCAAAGUACCCGCACGGUAGGGGGGACAUGACGGCAAGUGGAGACACAGGCCCUUAUGGAGUGAGGACCACGUGCCUGGGGGACGGCGGGCCCGCUGGCACCCGGAUCCCCACGCAUCGUACCCCCAGGUUCUGCCGACACCUGCGCAGACGCCACACGCCCUAGGAAGCACGGGAAGGUGUAUGCGGGGGAGGGGUGGCAAUUCUCGAGGUGCCCUUUGGGCCCAGAAUGAAAGUGUUUGCUGCUCCUUCUCCUCAGGCCAGAGCCCUUUAAAUAAAAACAGCCCACACGUUCUUGUGUUUGUAUAAAAGAUAUUUACUUCAAUUAUCACACCUAGGGUGCUAGUGAAUAAUAAUAAUACAUGGUGUGAGUUUCAUACAGUGAUAUUGCUUCUCCAUAUCAUAGAGGGACCGUUGUACAGUGCUGAGAACAAACAUCGUAUGGCUAACCAAAGACAGAAGGGACAACGCCCAGGGGCCGACGGGUGCCUCUCCCACCCCCAUGCCAGGCGGAUCAACUUUUGACUGAUGAUGUCGAAAACAAAUAGCAAGAAAUAAAAUGUUACCAGAGAUGGGUCACAGCCACACAACAGAGGCUUCUCAAAGCUAUUUGUACAAAAAUGACGCUUUUUUUUUUUUUUUUUUUCUGUUUCUUUUUUCUUUUUUUGGUCAAUCGGGUCAUUUGUGAGGAUUAAAAGAGAAAAAAAAAAAAGGUCUGUGAUUGUGAGUAUGAACAGACGCGCUCUAGAAACAUCUAAGACUUAGUGCGUUACAGAAAAUAUAAAAUACUGCUAAAAUGUAAGACACCACAAUACAAGGGGCCAGGGGCAGGGGGCGGGGGUGGGGGGGAAGCUGAGCUUAUUAGGAGUCUUCUGGAAGAGGCCCGCCGCUCGCUCGACGGGGCCGUCCUGUGCUGUGUUAGUUAGUAGUCUGGGCAGGAGCGUGGCCACCCGCUCUCAGGGCAAGUAGUUUAUUGCACAAUCGCAAAGAGCGAGGUCUUACUCAGUGGAAAGGGACGCGGGGGACACCACCUCGUCUGCUCGCUUUGUCCCGCUUUUCGGACAGGCUAUUUGCAAAUGCCUGCAGAAUGUUGAACGGAUCCUCACGUCUCCAAAAUGCACAGCAUUUUCUGAGGGGGUCUCAGUGGGUGGGACCCGAGAGGCCCGUUUUCUCAAGGGAAGAGGCAGAAAACGGUUCCAGAGGGAGAGAGAGAGGGAGAGAGAGAGAGAGAGAGAGAAAUGCAUAGACUACUUCGAGGGAGAUGAAAACCUUUGGGGGGAGGGGACGGGGGCUCUUAUUUCACCGGAGGCCUUUCUUUCCAAGACGACAGCGUCGGACCCGACACGAUGGCAGAGGAGGGAAGAGUCAGGCCCGGAAAGCGAGGCAGGGGUUGGGGGGCCCCCGAGGGAGCUCCAGCUCCGGGGCGGCGGGGCCUGGCCUCGGCCCUCACACCCGAGGAGCAAGCCAGCAGGUGCCCCUGGCCUCAGCCCCCGCCCCACGGAGCCACGUCCACGGGACCCGGCAAGGGGCGGGGGUCCUCCAGCCAAAACCUGACGAAGAACCGCGGUUGUUCCACGAGAUGAUCUGGACCGACUUUGUGGCCCGGAAAAACAACGACAGCAACGAAAGCCAACUGGAGCUCGUCAGCUCGCAGGAGCCUCGCCAGAAACCACGUCGAGCGGCAGGCGGGCCUGAGCGGGGCUCCCGACGCGGCAUGAACCCAGAAGUCUUACCAGAGGCUCUAGGAGGCUUUGGGGGAACUGAACUCGGCUUUCUCUGAGUCUCCCCUGCAGCCCCGCCCACGAGUGUCCUGCAACCCGGCCCCUCCUCACACUGGUAGGUUUUGUCACUGCUGGGCAUCGACUCUCUCGCUCUGACACGUUAGCCACGUGGAGACCACCCGUUGCCGCGCGGCUCCUCGGGAGACACUGCUUCUGCUGGAGACGCCCCCUCUGCACGCCCCGCGCCCCCCGCCCCAGGCCCUUGGGUGGUUUGGGGCGGGGGAGGGCUGGAGGCAGAAGACAGUCACCACUGGAGUGAGAGCAAAAAGCAUUCAUAAAAACAACAACAACACACAGAACAACAACACACUCCUGAUACGUACUUAAAUGAUCAACCUAAUAAUAAAUAGAAGAGGAUAGAAUUUCUUUUUUUUUUUUUUCCCCUCAAGGAAACAUCCUUUUAUAAUUACCCUCUCGCACGCUGGCGGGUCAGUAGCAGUCAAUCCAUCUCAACGAGGAACGCUAAGGGCUGGAAGGGGAUGGCGGUGGUCUUGCCCUCGGGAGGGUUCUCAGCGGCUGGGUCGCAGACUGCCCCUCCCUGCCCACCUGCCACCCAGCCAGCAGUUCUGGGGGGCGCCCGUGGGCCCUACACACGGAGCCUGGGGGUCAGCAAGAGGCAGGCUGAGAUGCGUGGCGGCGGCGGCGGCGGUGGCGACGGUGGCGGCGGGCGGGGGUGGGGGGGAGGCGGUGGAGGGAGGCCUGUUUUCCCAUCAGUUCGUGAACAAACGGAACUACAGUGAACAAACUCAUUCUACGCAUCCACAACCUGAAUCGUCCUGGUCUAAAGCUUACUUUGAGUUCAUUUGGUGUGCAAUACAUUAUCUCUUAAAAAGAAGGAAAAUGAUUUCUAUUGCACAGAGCUUUUACACAUAAUCCUCUAUUUAAGUGCUUUCUGUUUAAAGCAAACUACGAACAAAGGAAAAAAGAAGCGGGGGGGGGGGGGCGGGAGGAGAAAAAAUGAAAAAGGAGAAGAAAGGAAGCAUAAAACAAAAGCAGCCCCGUGCCACUUCAAUGCAUCUUGCUGACUGGCGUCUGGUUUCACCAGCGGAAGCCCCAAUGCUUCUGUACACACUGUGCUUCUGAUUAUUUUCCAUAGGGAUGUAGCCGUGACAUUGGGAUAUAAGGCACCUUUCCUUUCUGAUCACAGAAAGCUUGAUACAUAGCAUAUAGCACAUUUUGUGGUAGAAAUUAAAGCCUAAACACUACAGAAAUUACAGUCACGCAGCCUAUGCAUUUUAACAUUAUUGGAUAAACUAAAAUGAUCCAGGAAAAGCAACUCAAAGGUAUUUUAAACGUUUAAUAACGGGGAUGGGGAAGUGGACAUUUAUGCCUAGCCUAAUGUCUUUAAAAAAAUUUUUUUUUAAGUUUAAAAUUUUUUUUUUUUUUUUAUAGGUUCUUCACCUGCCAUGCCCAACUUUUAAAGUUAGCAUUCUGGAGGAGACUAGGCGCUUUGGAAAUGUCUUGUUAAAGCUAAAUGUCACUUCAUCCAAAAAUGAAAACAGGGAGGAGGCCACUGUCAGUGCGUACGUCUCUUUGGAGGGGAGGUGGGGAUGGAGGCGGGUGGUCGGGCCUGGGCCGGUGGGGGCAGGUCCGGCCAGGGGACCCACAGGGAGGUGGGCGGAAAUCCUAUUUCCUUCUCCCUGACCAGGGGUGAGGUCCCCGGGCUGCCGGGGCUGCCAGAGUAGGGCAGACUCUGGGGCAGGGCUCAUUUCAUGCUCGGCCCGCCGCGCCCCGCACCCCUCCUCUGCCACCUCCAGCCUCCGUGCAACCCGAGUGCUCUGGCCUCGGCGCUCAGUACAUCUCUCAAGAGUCUCGCAGGCUGGACCUUCUCAGCACUCUAACUGGGAACUUGCUUUCCCUUCUUGUCCCGGUAGUUUUCAUCUACGAAAAGGCAGAAACGGACGGGCAUGGUAGUGGGAGAGGGGCCCAUCCCCUUAGCAAGCAGGUAUGCUGGCCAGGCCGACAGUCAGCGCACUGGGGACUAGACAUACAUCACGUCGGGAUCCCAGGCCAGCUCUUACUGCUUGCGACAGGAGCUGGACUGGGUUCAAGAAGGCUCCCCGCGCGCCAUCAAGGCCCAAGCGGCACGAUUUCCACACGCGGGGUCCUUCCCGAUUCCUCUCAUUUGGACACCAGCGUGGGUGGCCCCACAUCCACCCAGCAGCCCCGGGAGCUGCUCUUCUUCGGCUCGGUGUGGAAAGCGGCCUAUAUAGUUUUAGGGAGAAAGGGUCACGUGACCAAAGACCAUACAUGUGGGCUGGAGAAGGCCGGAUCCUCUCCUGUCCCUGGGAUGCUUCUCACAGAAGGGCUGAAAUGACAACGUCCCAGGGCCAGAGAUGACAGAGUCCCCCCCGUGCCGGGAAGGAAUCCCAGGGAAGUGUCCUCAGAGGGCCGCCGAGGGGCAGCCCAGGGCAGGGAGAGGGCUGUGACGGACCGAAACAGCUGGACAGGAAUGGCCAGAGGGCACAGGCAGGCCCAAGGCGAGACGCUCCGAGGCGCGAGGCCGCGCCUGCCUGCAAAGGAAACAGCUGUGAGAGUUUCAGGAACAGGUGGAAGCCAAGAGAAAAGUCCGUGGGCCUCGCGGGGCACAGCUGUGUCACAAAAAAGGGAAGCCACCUGCCCACCAGGCCAAGAGAUGCUCACAGACACCAGGCUUCUAGAUUUUUCGCUUCCCCAAUCUCACUUGCCUGACAGCUCUGGGGGGCGAGGGGUAAGGUCUCGCGGGAGCAUGCUCAGUGAGGUAGAAGGGGACAGAUGAGGAUGACACCCGGGGGGGAGCCGAACGCCCAGCCUGAAGGGGUGCGGCUACCAGCCCACCACGCUCGCCACGCAUGCACGCCGGGACCUCGCCUGCUCCGUCUCCCGCCAGCUGGCUCGCUGGCCUCAGAGGGCAGCGGCUUGCGCCGGCUAAGGGCAGAGUCUUGUUUUUAGAGCCAGUCCAGAGGUGCCUGCCAAAGUGCAUUUAAGGUGAAGGCUGUUGUCCCCCAGCUCAAGACCUACAGCCCCUGUCACUGUCUCACUUUGUGCUAAUCCCAGAAGGACAUGUGUUCUGUUCCCCUGGCUCCUCUGCUGUUUGCAGGGAGGUCUGUUCUACAGUCAGAGGAAUGAAAAACAUUGCAUAGAAAGUCAAUAGAGUUCGCUGAUCACCCCUGCGUGAAAGGAGGUGAGUUCAGGGGGGACAGAGACGUCUGGUCCCACGUGAGCCAGGAAGGUACCUGCCUGCAGAUGGGACCGUCUGGGGACUCUCAGCUCAAUCUCUUAGGACAGGACUGCUGGGUGACCUUAGGGUAGUCAGAUGCCAGAGCGUGCGUAAAACCUGUCCUGCGCUUGGCCUGCUCCGGGCUGCAGGGCUGGUGUGGCCCCGGGUGGGGGAGGCCUUUGGGUGUUUCCUUCCUCCUGGGGCUGCUGGCUGGGCCUGGGAGGGUCUCUCACUGCUGGCGGCAGGGGGCACAGAGGAACAUGUCCCCCAAAGCCCUGCUGUACUCUGGAUCUGGACCACCGACCAGCAUGUCUGGCUUUUCAAUGGGGGAGAAAAACGAAGCUGCGCACAGGAGGGCGAUGAGCAGGGAGGCACCUGUGCGUUGGAAGUGUAGGGAAACGGUUCGAGAGAGGUCAUGGCUGGUUAGCCUGCGGCCUCAGUCACUUUCCCAGACUUGGUGGCCCUGGCCUGAGAGCAGUCACACGAGUCAAGAUCCUGCCAUUUCCUGGAGCUUCCUUCCAAAUCUGCCGACCCUGAGCCACCGUGUCUCGUGAUGUGCUUCAGCGGGGUGGGCUCGGCGAAACACCGAGCGGAGCUACAGGGCUGUGAUAAUCCUUGCUAAACAAGGGCGCGCUGGUAGGCAGACAUCACAGACAUCUCGACCCAGAAGUUCAAGGGGAGAGGUCCUCUGGGAGCCAGGUGGCACGAGUGAGCGGGCGCGGGUCUAGGACAGAACCCACACCCCUUCCAUCUGAGACGCCCCGUGGGGACGUGAGCAGGAGCCAAGGGUCAAGAGGCUGAAGGCGGACACUCGCUGCACGCUGAACCUCCACUGAGCCGGCUAAGCAAUGGCAAAAACCUGAAGUUAGGAACACUGCCUCCAAUUAACCAAAAGAAGCCAUUUAAGAUGGUUAUAAUGGAGCUUGUAAUUAAGUGUUAGUGUUUUCUACGGAACCGUUUUCCCCAGGGGAGAGGUACAAAUCAGCUUUUUAAACUGGUGGAGCGUAAAGAGGAAGGGGGCAGCUGCCUGUGGGAGCUACUGCUUGGAACGCCAGCCAGCUGAAGGUAAACCCCGCGGAGAGGACGCUGUUCAAGGCACUUGAAUAUUGCUUAUCAAGAUGAAAGAUCAACCCUUGGACUCAAGCUGAGGGGCACAAAGAGGAGGGGCCCGCUCCCCCCUCCAGGUUCCUGUUAGUUAGUGGCAGCUCUUCAGAGUAUGACAGAUAGCGAUAGAUAGCUUAACACAAGAGAUCAUAGGGUUGGGAUCGCCAUUAAAAAAAAAAAAUAAAUAGAGAAAAAAUACGAACAUGGAACUGCAAGCAAACUUGAACCAACU